CUCUUCUGACCUGAAGUGUUCUGGUGUUUCUAAGGCUAUCAUCAAUCUAAAUUGGUAAUAUUCUAUUCAGAGAAUAUCUUUACAUGAGGUCACUGUCAUCUUUGGCUUUGGAAUUCUAUAAUUCAUGAGGUAGUUGGGGAGGCAAGCAGUACAGAUAAGGAGGCUCCAGCCAUCAGAGAUAUCCCUCAAAACCAACGGGAGAAAAAAGGCAAGAGCAGAGAAUGGACAUGAUAAAUAUUUUAAUUACUAUAUGCCCUUCCUUCUUUCAUCCCACAACUAUAUAAGGUAUUGUGAAGCAAACACAGCAGAUGAGAGAAAGAGGGAAGGAGGAAGAGAGAGAGUGAAUAGGAAGAAACACAAGAAGUGGGGAACAAAACCAAGACUGCAUACAUUUUGGGAUACAUGAAAAGUGCUUGGGUUUUUUAUAUCAAUGAGUAUGAUAAGAACUACAAAAAAGAGCAGCCACUGGGAAUCAUUAAAGCGAGUGUUCCUCUGAACCUCUUGUGACACAGGCUUUCAGACAAUUGCCACAUCAACAUACCAGGGUUCCAUUUACGUCCUGACUCAGGUUCUUCAUCUCUCCCACGAUGAAAGCAACCAGUCUGAAGUAUUUUAUGGUCAUCAUAAAAGGACAAGUCACUGACUACACUAUACUUCUUGGGACACAGAACUGUAUCCUGGCUGAAAAGGUGAAGAAGCUUUCUCCAGCAGAAACACCAGGAAGCCUUCUUUAAUUUCCUUCACUGCAGAUCAUUGGCUUGGCCUCCCUAAGAGUAUCUGAGGCUGGAGAAGACUCUGAGCCCCACAAUCUAGAGAAAUUCAGAUAACUGAUUCUGUUUCAGUGACUACAUUUUUUAAAUACGUGGAAUACCCAGGAGUACCUUCAUUAAGCAAUAUGUACUAGAAGAAAGAGAAUUUCAAAAAGUCUCCUACAAUUGAACUUGAUUCUCCAUUGUUUUUUGAAACUCCCUUGGAAGCUUGAAUUUUCCUUAUUUGGCAAAUGAUCUGGUUUCCUCCUCAUUUAGAUGCUAAGGAUGGAAUUUUUAAAAAAAAUUAAUUGGUUCAUUGUUUUAUCACAAACACCAGUAGAAAAGUGAAGCAAAGCCAGACUAUAUAGUAAGGUGGCCACAGGGCUGCUGUACUGGCUCACACCUAUAGUCUCAGCACUUGGGGAGGCCAAGACAGGUGGAUCGCUGGAGCCCAGGAGUUCAACAUCAUCUUGGCCAACAUGGAGAAACUCCAUCUUGACAAAAAAAUACAAAAAUUAGCCAGGCAUGGUGGUGUGCACCUGUGGUCCCAGUUACUCGGGAGGCUGAGGCAGGAGAAUCGCUUGAUCCUGAGAAGUCAAGGCUGCAGUGCCGUGACCAUGCCAUUGCACUCCAGGCAGGCAAGACCCUGUCCCCACACCCCCACCCCCGCAAAAAGAGAUUAGUAAAUGACUGCUACCAUGGUAGCCCCAAAAGGUAGAUAGCUCUCCAUAGCUUUUUUUUUUUAACAACUGGUAAUCGUUUAUUAAAAAUAAUUGACUUAAGCAUCUGCAAUGGUGACUUCAACCUCAACUCCCGGCUCAAUAAUGAUAGAAGUAAUCUGCUUGACAAUUUCAGAAAGACUGUGCAAGUCAGUGAGUCACAUGUGGAUUCUCAUCUGGAAACAAUGCCAUGUCUCAGAACCUUCAUAAGAAAUUUUUCUUGUAAUGCUUCUCAAAGUUUCCGUAGGCAUGCAAACUGGUCCUUUCACUUUGAGAUUCUUUUCCUUUGCUCUACUGAUCAAGUCAGCACACACCUUCUCCAAGGAUUUUAAGUUGCAGCUCGUUAGAGUGAUUCUAAUUUGGCAAACUGCCACCUCUGGCUCCAAGGGCAUUUUUCUUUAUCUCCUGACCAAGCUGUUUCUUGGUGAGAGCCAACAACAGUGAGUCAGGAGCAAGAGCAGGCUCACCACAACUCCGCACCACC